UACAGAGGGUGCGAGCGUUAAUCGGAAUUACUGGGCGUAAAGCGUGCGUAGACGGUCAAGUAAGUCGGGUGUGAAAGCCCCGGGCUCAACCUGGGAAUUGCAUUCGAGACUGCGUGGCUAGGGUGCGGAAGAGGGAAGCGGAAUUUCCGGUGUAGCGGUGAAAUGCGUAGAUAUGCGGAGGAACACCGAUGGCGAAGGCAAUCCCCUGGGCCUGUACUGACGCUCAUGCACGAAAGCGUGGGGAGCAAACAGG
rnacentral:rRNA from 1 species